GUGCGGUUGGCGCAGUGGUCAGCGCGUUCGCUCCUAAUGUGAAAGGACCUGGGUUCGAAUCCCGGACCGUAUA
rnacentral:tRNA from 1 species